rnacentral:rRNA from 1 species
CGUCAGGCUUAACACAUGCAAGUCGAGCGGGCACCUUCGGGUGUCAGCGGCAGACGGGUGAGUAACACGUGGGAACGUACCCUUCGGUUCGGAAUAACGCUGGGAAACUAGCGCUAAUACCGGAUACGCCCUUUUGGGGAAAGGUUUACUGCCGAAGGAUCGGCCCGCGUCUGAUUAGCUAGUUGGUGGGGUAACGGCCUACCAAGGCGACGAUCAGUAGCUGGUCUGAGAGGAUGAUCAGCCACACUGGGACUGAGACACGGCCCAGACUCCUACGGGAGGCAGCAGUGGGGAAUAUUGGACAAUGGGCGCAAGCCUGAUCCAGCCAUGCCGCGUGAGUGAUGAAGGCCUUAGGGUUGUAAAGCUCUUUUGUCCGGGACGAUAAUGACGGUACCGGAAGAAUAAGCCCCGGCUAACUUCGUGCCAGCAGCCGCGGUAAUACGAAGGGGGCUAGCGUUGCUCGGAAUCACUGGGCGUAAAGGGCGCGUAGGCGGCCAUUCAAGUCGGGGGUGAAAGCCUGUGGCUCAACCACAGAAUUGCCUUCGAUACUGUUUGGCUUGAGUAUGGUAGAGGUUGGUGGAACUGCGAGUGUAGAGGUGAAAUUCGUAGAUAUUCGCAAGAACACCGGUGGCGAAGGCGGCCAACUGGACCAUUACUGACGCUGAGGCGCGA